rnacentral:rRNA from 1 species
CACGUAGGGGGCGAGCGUUGUCCGGAAUUACUGGGCGUAAAGGGCGCGCAGGCGGCAAGUUAAGUCGAGUGUGAAAUCGCGCAGCUCAACUGCGCAACUGCGCUCGAAACUGGUUUGCUUGAGGACAGGAGAGGGAAGUGGAAUUUCCGGUGUAGCGGUGAAAUGCGUAGAUAUCGGAAGGAACACCAGUGGCGAAGGCGACUUCCUGGACUGCACCUGACGCUGAGGCGCGAAAGCUAGGGGAGCAAACGGG